GUAAGGAAUAUUGGACAAUGGGGGAAACCCUGAUCCAGCCAUGCCGCGUGAGUGAAGAAGGCCUUCGGGUUGUAAAACUCUUUCAGAUGUGAAGAUGAUGACGGUAACAUCAGAAGAAGCUCCGGCUAACUUCGUGCCAGCAGCCGCGGUAAUACGAAGGGAGCGAGCGUUGUUCGGAAUCACUGGGCGUAAAGAGUGCGUAGGCGGUUAUACAAGUCAGGAGUGAAAUCCCAGAGCUUAACUUUGGAAUUGCUUUUGAAACUGUAUAGCUAGAGUCCCGGAGGGGUUAAUGGAAUUCCGAGUGUAGAGGUGAAAUUCGCAGAUAUUCGGAGGAACACCAGUGGCGAAGGCGAUUAACUGGACGGGCACUGACGCUGAGGUGCGAAAGCGUGGGGAGCAAACAGGAUUAGAAACCCUUGUAGUCC
rnacentral:rRNA from 1 species